rnacentral:rRNA from 1 species
AAUGAACGCUGGCGGCAUGCCUUACACAUGCAAGUCGAACGGCAGCACGGGUGCUUGCACCUGCUGGCGAGUGGCGAACGGGUGAGUAAUACAUCGGAACGUACCUUAUCGUGGGGGAUAACGCAGCGAAAGUUGCGCUAAUACCGCAUACGCCCUGAGGGGGAAAGCGGGGGACCGUAAGGCCUCGCGCGAUUAGAGCGGCCGAUGUCUGAUUAGCUUGUUGGUGAGGUAAAAGCUCACCAAGGCGAUGAUCAGUAGCUGGUCUGAGAGGACGAUCAGCCACACUGGGACUGAGACACGGCCCAGACUCCUACGGGAGGCAGCAGUGGGGAAUUUUGGACAAUGGGGGCAACCCUGAUCCAGCAAUGCCGCGUGAGUGAAGAAGCCCUUCGGGUUGUAAAGCUCUUUUGUCAGGGAAGAAACAGCAGCUCUAACACAGACUGCGAAUGACGGUACCUGAAGAAUAAGCACCGGCUAACUACGUGCCAGCAGCCGCGGUAAUACGUAGGGUGCGAGCGUUAAUCGGAAUUACUGGGCGUAAAGCGUGCGCAGGCGGUUAUACAAGACAGGCGUGAAAUCCCCGGGCUUAACCUGGGAAUGGCGUCUGUGACUGUAUAGCUAGAGUGUGUCAGAGGGGGGUGGAAUUCCACGUGUAGCAGUGAAAUGCGUAGAUAUGUGGAGGAACACCAAUGGCGAAGGCAGCCCCCUGGGAUAACAC